rnacentral:lncRNA from 1 species
GAGGAUUGGGUUUACCUUUCUCAGUCAAAAUGAAUCUUCUCUCUUUGGAUAGAUAACGUAAGACAAACCUAUUACUUCGAUAAAUUUGAAUAGGUGGUGACGCACCAUGACAUGUCUUGCUCCUCGAGGGGUGGAAUUCACAAAAAUAAGACGGGUUAGUAUUAUCAAAAACUAUGGACUUAAAUGGAAAAGGAAAGUUACCAUAGAAAUUUGAUUCAAUUCCAAAAACAUAGGUUGGCCUUACCUUCUCGAAAUGAAAUGAAAAAUUCAAAUGUGGCCAAACAAGGUGAUUAAUAAAUGAAUCAAAAUUGAAACCCAAAUCAUUGAAUUUCACCUUCUUAUCAAAAAUUCGAACUUCAAGCAAACAUAAUUUCAAUGUAAAUGAUGCAAAGCGCUU